UCGGUGGCGCAGCGAGCUUCGUGCUCGGG
rnacentral:sRNA from 1 species